rnacentral:lncRNA from 1 species
GCGCAAAUGACCGUGAAAAAAAUUGUCAUCCACCAGACUGUUGCACGAAGCCACAAAAGAAACUCAUACGGCUUUCUCAGAAAG